GGCUGCAGUGCAGUGGCAUGUGUAUAGCUCACUUUAAACUCCUGGGCUCCAACGAUCCUCCUUCCUUAUCCUCCUGAGUGGCUAGGACUACAGGUGCACACCACCAUGCCCAGCUAGUUUUUAUAUUUUCUUUAGAACUGGGGUCUUGCUGUAUUGCCCAGGCUGGUCUCGAACUCCUGACCUUGAGUUGAUCCUCCUGCCUUGGCCUCCCAAAUCACUGGGAUUACAGACAUAAGCCACCAUGCCCAGCCUCUUCUCUCUUUGAUAGUUGGGAUUAUUACUUUUAAUAUUUUGAUGCUGG
rnacentral:lncRNA from 10 species